AUAAGCAUCAAUGCACCUAACCUAUUUACUUACCCACACAUCUAAUCGAUGCAUCUUGUUGGUGACCAUUCUCCUCUCAGGUAAACAGUUAAUCAUGUGUUAAUUAGAUUGAGUAGGUCCAAGGGGGAUAGCAGUUAAUGUGUUAAUAAUCACCUAACCCAGGACUUGAAUCUACACCCCCUAACCUUCUAAAUCAUCAACCCAUAACCCAUAAUGCUUCUCAAGAUGCAAUGCGAUUUAUUCCCAUUGCUCUGCAUGUUAAAGUGAAGAAAUUCAACCAAGCGGGGGUAAAGGACAAGAGUAACUAUGACUCUCUUAAGGUAUCAAAAUGGAACAUCAUCUAAUUAUUGACACUCAUGAAUGGAUUAAUGAGAUUCCCCACUGUCCCUAGCUACUAUAUUCUAGAGAAACCACAUCCAAGGGAAUGGGCUUGGCAAAAUUAGCGGGGAAAGAAGACCUUUUUGAGCUUGACUCUAGUCCUAACCCAUUCAUAGUUUGGGA
rnacentral:ncRNA from 1 species